CCUCAGAGCCAUUUUGCUUCUCAGCAGCCAGCUCUCAGGGGUGUCCCCAUUACCCUGCUUCGCACAGCUGACUUUGUGCUCGAUGAGACGCUGUGUAUGUGGGGGUAGGGAGUGGGGAAAGGGAGGCCAGAAAUGUUCAUUCUGCUGGUUUCUGACAUUUUAUGCCAUCUCAUUUUGCCUCUCCCUGUCUCUCACACACACACACACACACACACACACACACACACACACACACACACAAUGCAAACACACAACUUGGCCCUCCUGAACCUGAUCGUAGGACACGGAGUACAGAGCAUGUCAGGUGGAGCAGCUGCUGGGGCAUGCUGAGUGCUGGCCCCAAAGCCCAGAGAAGGCACAGGCUGUACUGCAGCCUGCCUGCCACUCGUUUGGCUGCACACAGGAUCCUGUGUUCAGGGGUAAACUCCCCUCCACACUUGUCUUCUGCUGCCUAGCGCAUGCCAAUCUCGCCCUUGCCCAGUUGUCGGCAAGUACUGGGGAAGGCUCCUGACCUUUGACCUUUGCCCCAGUCCUGCACUGGAGUCCCACUGUACAUUUCCACUAAGCCGGACAGUCCUUUGGACUUCUCUGUUUAGGAAGAGAUGCUUCCCACCCCUGGGAACAUGCCGAGCUCAGGAAAAUGCCAAGCCUCGUGCCUGGGCCUUUGGGUUGCUCAGGUAGCCUCCCAAGAUGCUGCGCCCCAUAGGCUACCCUGCCCAGAAAAGCAGCUGGUCGGCCCAGCCGGCGUUCGCUGAUAGCGCCUUAGGGCUCAGUUAAAGCACAGGUAAAUGGCUGGCUGCUUUGUAUACCCUCCUUUUAGACAGCAUCACCCCAGGGAUUAGGAUGGGAUGGGUGGGGGCGGGGCACCCAGGCAGUGGAGUCUGGGAGUGGCUGAGACCUCAGCAGUAUUUCCCCAUCACUGCCCCAUGCUGAGACAACCUUCUAGGACGUUUCCUCAGAUGCUGACUGGGUGCUUGGGAGGGGAGUGGGCUAGUAAAACAAAAUAGGAAAACAGGUCUUGGGACUCCCAGAUCUUGUGUGCAGUAAGGAAGUUCACAGAGCCCCAGGAAGGCGAUAGUUCUCAGGGUAGCGAGCGUCAGCUUGCUUUCAGGCCGCACACUGAGGAGUCUUGAGGAACAGUUGACUUCUUUCUUACUGGUGCAUGGGGGCUGGGAAACACAAGUUGUCAGAGUGCAGCUGUGGGACUCAGAGAUGGGAAGUGGGCAAGGCCACGCCCUGCAGGGCUCUACCAUUGUUUACAAUGUACUUGGCUGCAUUCGGGGGUGGGGGGAACUUGACAGUGGCUAUUAGGCAAAAUGCCGGUUUUGUGGUUCAGGUAACAGUCUUUGACCACUCCCUGACGUCAUUCGUACUGUCCUCCUUCUUGUUGCUUCCACACUUAGUCCCACCUGAGCUCUGGUACCUCUGCUGUGCCUUUUUUGAGUGGGGUCUAGCCUUGUCUUCCAGCCUCAUAAUUUAACCUAAGUGCAAUGCCUGCCACCGACAAAGGCCCGUGAAGUAUUCCUCAUGUCCUGUGCUAACGUUUUCUGUAUAGGAACAGGCAGAAAUGUCUUUAGCACCGCGGAUAUAACUAACUUAUAUUUCCCUUCACGAAGGAUAGAAGUAACGGGUGUGUCAUUUCCAACGGUCAUGUAUAAUUUUUGUAAACUGUUCUCUGCAAACAAAAAAAAUGUAAAUAUGCUUCUAAUAAAAUAAUAAGGUAAUU
rnacentral:lncRNA from 1 species